rnacentral:rRNA from 1 species
AGUGAACGCUGGCGGUAGGCCUAACACAUGCAAGUCGAACGGCAGCACAGUAAGAGCUUGCUCUGACGGGUGGCGAGUGGCGGACGGGUGAGGAAUACAUCGGAAUCUACUUUUUCGGGGGGGAUAACGUAGGGAAACUUACGCUAAUACCGCAUACGACCUACGGGGGAAAGCAUGGGAUCUUCGGACCUUUCGCGAUUGAAUGAGCCGAUGUCGGAUUAGCUAGUUGGCGGGGUAAAGGCCCACCAAGGCGACGAUCCGUAGCUGGUCUGAGAGGAUGAUCAGCCACACUGGAACUGAGACACGGUCCAGACUCCUACGGGAGGCAGCAGUGGGGAAUAUUGGACAAUGGGCGCAAGCCUGAUACAGCCAUACCGCGUGGGUGAAGAAGGCCUUCGGGUUGUAAAGCCCUUUUGUUGGGAAAGAAAAGCAGCAGGUUAAUACCCCGCUGUUCUGACGGUACCCAAAGAAUAAGCACCGGCUAACUUCGUG